CACAAAAGAAUAAGAAAAUAUAUGAGAAGUUUUAUAAUCAAAAUUUAGUGCAUUAUUAUUGCAUAGAAUAAGGAGGUGCUACAUCAGCACAACACAAUGCAGGCUGAAUUAGGAGCAACCUAAACCCUCAUAGAUACAUAGAGAUAGAUAGAUAAAUAGAUGCCAAUGUAAUAUGUUUUACAUAAUUUUAUUUGUGUUUAGACAAUACAAAAGUUGUAUGUGUACUAUAAUAGUUUGUCCUGCGUUGUCCUUCUUUCCCUAUCAUAGAAAUCAAAAUGUCAAAAAGUUAUAAAUUAAAUAUGAGAGAAAAAAUAAUAACAGUAACAAUAGUACGUAUGACAUUCCAAUAAAAUCACAUGCUUUAAAAAAUAAAUAUAGUUUUCAACUUGCUUGUUAAGUGCUGUAAACUUUAUCUUAAUUAAAUUAAUAAAAAAAUGUGUUAAAAAAAAUCAUAAAAUUUCAGUGUUAUUAAAAAGGUUCAUGUUGACUUCUAUUAGAUACAAAUCUCUUUCAAAAAAAUACAUAAAAUGUUGACUUCUAUUGAAUUUAACACUAUGGAUCAAAAUGUUGAUGAAAAACCUUUUGUAGACUAAAAGUUGAAGAAGAAAUUUGUCGGCAUUAAAAAACAUAGAAAUAUAUUUAACCUUCAUGCAUACAUUGAUUAAAUAUAUAUGGAAAAGAGAAAAUUAUUAUUAAUAAUAGUGAAACUAUUAAACACUUGUAAAUAGAAUAACAAAAGUUAAUAUGUGACUAAUAGGCAUAUGAUAAACAACUAAUUAAUAUUGGAAUGUUGUUCUUAAAAGUUGGACAUAUAAUUUUUCAAAAGUCAUAUAGUUGUAUUUUAAAAUGUAAUAAUUCUACUUUUAAAUUUCUUAACAUAUGUUUUUAAAACACACGUUAACAAAUCUAUAAAAUUAUAGGCGAAACAAGAUAAAUUUUCAACUAACCUAUUAAUUGCAAUAACAAUUAUUAGAAAUACAUUUCCCAACUUUCGGAAGGUGGCAAAAAUUAUCUGGACAGUCAUUAUCAUUCUUGCAAUUACGAAUUCCUGCAAUGUAAAAAAUAUAUAAAAGAAUGUCAAUAAAAGAUGAUGAUUUUUGUUUUGUUCCAAUGAUGAUUUUUUUUUUUAAAAAAGAGAAGAAAACAUUAUUAUAUUAAUACAAUUGCAUUAGUGAAUACUAGGUAUUUUACAAAUGAUUUAAGUUGAAUUUAAAUUGUCUCUUGUACAAAGUCAAACUGUAACUACAAAUUGUUGACACCUCUUAGACUAAAAGAUUAUGCAAUUUUGUGUAUAAGGUAAAUUAAAUAAGAAAAAGAAACAGAAAAGAGGAUUAAUUACCACCACCGUAGAAGCUGGUUACAACAUGAAAUAGUGAAAGAAAAAGUGUUAUCACAUAAACAAACUUUAAAACUGCAGCCAUGUUUCUCCUCCUUUGCAUGUAGUAUAGAAACCAAUUUAUUUAUAAUGUAAAAACCAUCAUACUCUUAUUAUACUUCAAUUAAAAAAAAAUAAUUAUUACUUUUUUAC
rnacentral:lncRNA from 1 species